rnacentral:rRNA from 1 species
AGAGUUUGAUCCUGGCUCAGAAUGAACGCUGGCGGCGUGCUUAACACAUGCAAGUCGAACGGUAACAGGAGCAGCUUGCUGCUUGCUGACGAGUGGCGCACGGGUGAGUAAUAUAUAGGUAACGUGCCUCUUAGUCUGGGAUAGCCACUGGAAACGGUGAUUAAUACCGGAUACGCCCUACGGGGGAAAGGUUUUUCGCUAAGAGAUCGGCCUAUACUGUAUCAGCUAGUUGGUGAGGUAAGAGCUCACCAAGGCGAUGACACAUAGCGGGUUUGAGAGGAUGAUCCGCCACACUGGUACUGAGACACGGACCAGACUCCUACGGGAGGCAGCAGUGAGGAAUAUUGCACAAUGGGGGAAACCCUGAUGCAGCAACGCCGCGUGGAGGAUGACGCAUUUCGGUGUGUAAACUCCUUUUAUCAGAGAAGAAGAUGACGGUAUCUGAUGAAUAAGCUCCGGCUAACUCCGUGCCAGCAGCCGCGGUAAUACGGAGGGAGCAAGCGUUAUUCGGAAUCACUGGGCGUAAAGGGCGCGUAGGCGGGUUUUUAAGUCAGAUGUGAAAUCCUACAGCUUAACUGUAGAACUGCAUUUGAAACUGGGGACCUAGAGUAUGGAAGGGGAAGAUGGAAUUAGUGGUGUAGGGGUAAAAUCCGUAGAUAUCACUAGGAAUACCGAAAGCGAAGGCGAUCUUCUGGGACAUAACUGACGCUGAGGCGUGAAAGCGUGGGGAGCAAACGGGAUUAGAUACCCCGGUAGUCCACGCCCUAAACGAUGAACACUAGUCGUCGCGAUGCUCGUCAUCGCGGUGAUGCACCUAACGGAUUAAGUGUUCCGCCUGGGGAGUACGGUCGCAAGAUUAAAACUCAAAGGAAUAGACGGGGACCCGCACAAGUGGUGGAGCAUGUGGUUUAAUUCGAAGAUACGCGAAGAACCUUACCUGGCCUUGACAUUGAUUGAAUUCGGUAGAGAUACUGAAGUGCUAGUUUACUAGAACAUGAAAACAGGUGCUGCACGGCUGUCGUCAGCUCGUGUCGUGAGAU